UCAACCAANGUAUGCUUUGGAAACUGUUAGACUUGAGUGCAGAAGGGGAGAGUGGAAUUCCAUGUGUAGCGGUGAAAUGCGUAGAUAUAUGGAGGAACACCGGUGGCGAAAGCGGCUCUCUGGUCUGUCACUGACGCUGAGGCUCGAAAGCGUGGGUAGCGAACAGGAUUAGAUACCCUGGUAGUCCACGCCGUAAACGCUGAGUGCUAGGUGUUAGGUCCUUUCCGGGACUUAGUGCCGACGCUAACGCAUUAAGCACUCCGCCUGGGGAGUACGACCGCAAGGUUGAAACUCAAAGGAAUUGACGGGGGCCCGCACAAGCGGUGGAGCAUGUGGUUUAAUUCGAAGCAACGCGAAGAACCUUACCAGGUCUUGACAUCCCGAUGCCCGCUCUAGAGAUAGAGUUUUUCUUCGGAGCAUCGGAGACAGGUGGUGCAUGGUUGUCGUCAGCUCGUGUCGUGAGAUGUUGGGUUAAGUCCCGCAACGAGCGCAACCCUUAUUGUUAGUUGCCAUCAUUAAGUUGGGCACUCUAGCGAGACUGCCGGUAAUAAACCGGAGGAAGGUGGGGAUGACGUCAAAUCAUCAUGCCCCUUAUGACCUGGGCUACACACGUGCUACAAUGGUUGGUACAACGAGUCGCAAGCCGGUGACGGCAAGCUAAUCUCUGAAAGCCAAUCUCAGUUCGGAUUGUAGGCUGCAACUCGCCUACAUGAAGUCGGAAUCGCUAGUAAUCGCGGAUCAGCACGCCGCGGUGAAUACGUUCCCGGGCCUUGUACACACCGCCCGUCACACCACGAGAGUUUGUAACACCCAA
rnacentral:rRNA from 1 species